GACGAACGCUGGCGGCGUGCUUAACACAUGCAAGUCGAACGGAAAGGCCCUGCUUUUGUGGGGUGCUCGAGUGGCGAACGGGUGAGUAACACGUGAGUAACCUGCCCUUGACUUUGGGAUAACUUCAGGAAACUGGGGCUAAUACCGGAUAGGAGCUCCUGCUGCAUGGUGGGGGUUGGAAAGUUUCGGCGGUUGGGGAUGGACUCGCGGCUUAUCAGCUUGUUGGUGGGGUUGUGGCUUACCAAGGCUUUGACGGGUAGCCGGCCUGAGAGGGUGACCGGCCACAUGGGGACUGAGAUACGGCCCAGACUCCUACGGGAGGCAGCAGUGGGGAAUAUUGCGCAAUGGGCGGAAGCCAGAUGCAGCAACGCCGCGUGCGGGAUGACGGCCUUCGGGUUGUAAACCGCUUUCGCCUGUGACGAAGCGUGAGUGACGGUAAUGGGUAAAGAAGCACCGGCUAACUACGUG
rnacentral:rRNA from 1 species